AUCUCUCAACUCCAAAACGGAUAGAAGCUGUGUUUCUAGUGGUAUCCCUGACCGGAAAACCGAUCCAACAUUGAUCGCACAGGAAGGAAAAGAAGGAAGGUUGUCAAAACGAGCAGUGAGCUGCCGCCGCCGGGGAAGAGAAAGGGGUUUGUUUGUUUGUAUGACUUUCAGACGAGGGAGAAGACUCGGUAGCCUUCGUAACGGCUAAAUCGUAAGGUAGGGUAGGGGAAGUCCCGUAAAACUGGCCGUAUGUUUUCCUCUGUUUGUCAUCAAAGUCUUUGUCGAUUUGGGUGACGUGGUAUCUUGUGAUUGGUUUCCAAACUGAGGUGUCUUCUACUCACAGUACAGAAGUGAAAUUUCAUGCCAAGCCAUUUGGACAGACUGCUAUGGAAGUUCACAAAUCAUAUACCCUCACCCAAGACAACUUCUUUAUCAUAGUCAUUUGAACGAGUUGUUUCUGUCAAAUAUUUCAACAUUUCUCAAUUUAUAAUUUCAACAUUUCCUCCACUCUCAUUUCCCCUUUACCAACCCACCCAUUAGCUCAAUCAAAGGUUUGGAAGCAGUAAUCAGAAUGAUUGGGCGCCAUUGGCAAUACAAUUAGAUGGUGAAGAAGAAGCAUUAAGAGUGAAAGAUGCUU
rnacentral:lncRNA from 1 species